AAAGACAAUUAAAAGCUCUUACCAAUAUUAAAGACUUUUUUGUUUAAUUCAAAAUGAACGUCAAAAUAGGAAUCAGCACGUCAAAAUUGACAAGGAGAGGGCAUGUCAAAUUUUUUGCUGAGGUGGUGCUGAUGUGAUCGACUGACCUGGCACUGAGCUGGAUGACGUGAAUGAUGACUUUGCACAAGAUGUUGAUAAAAUUGUUGAUGAUGUCAGCAAGGUAUGGACCACGAUCAGGUGGAACACAGCAGACAGUUGCUGUUGUGAGCUUGGAUGUCUUUGCUUUGGAUCUUUGAUCCGACCCAUCAGGUUUGGGCUACUGGGGCCUCGGAUUGAAGUUCCAACAGUGGUAAAGGGAUGGCCAGUGAACAGCAAGGCCUGAAGACCUUCAAACACUGAAUUUUGCUAGAUUCCGGUCGUGAUGCAAUUCAGGUCAAUAUCCUACUCGAUGGGAUUUCCAUCACUGUUCAAUGCCUGAUGGACAGACUGGCACCAGAAUGGUUGCAUGGUGUCGAUCCUUAGUUAGGCAUAGGUGGCACAGUGAUCUAUUGAUGGGAGAUUGGUGGGUGUUG
rnacentral:misc_RNA from 1 species